rnacentral:tRNA from 1 species
GUGGGUAUAGCUCAGUUGGUUAGAGCGCCGGAUUGUGGUUCCGGAGGUCGCGGGUUCGAAUCCCGUUACUCACC